CCUACGGGUGGCAGCAGUGAGGAAUAUUGGUCAAUGGGCGCGAGCCUGAACCAGCCAAGUAGCGUGAAGGAGGACUGCCCUCCGGGUUGUAAACUUCUUUUAUAAAGGAAUAAAGUGAGGCACGUGUGCCUUUUUGUAUGUACUUUAUGAAUAAGGAUCGGCUAACUCCGUGCCAGCAGCCGCGGUAAUACGGGGGAUCCGAGCGUUAUCCGGAUUUAUUGGGUUUAAAGGGAGCGUAGAUGGGUUGUUAAGUCAGUGGUGAAAGUGUGCGGCUCAACCGUAAAAUUGCAAUUGAUACUGGCAGCCUUGAGUACAGUUGAGGUAGGCGGAAUGCGUGGUGUAGCGGUGAAAUGCUUAGAUAUCACGCAGAACUCCGAUUGCGAAGGCAGCUUACUAAACUGCCACUGACAUUGAUGCACGAAAGUGUGGGUAUCAAACAGGAUUAGAUACCCUGGUAGUC
rnacentral:rRNA from 1 species